UGCCAGCAGCCGCGGUAAUACGGAGGGAUCGAACGUUAAUCGGAAUUACUGGGCGUAAAGCGCGCGUAGGUGGUUCAUUAAGUGGGAUGUGAAAGCCCUGGGCUUAACCUGGGAACUGCAUUCCAAACUGGCGAACUAGAGUACGAUAGAGGGGGGUAGAAUUCACAGUGUAGCGGUGAAAUGCGUAGAUAUUGUGAGGAAUACCAGUGGCGAAGGCGGCCUCCUGGAUUGAUACUGACACUCAGUGUGCGAAAGCGUGGGGAGCAAACAGGAUUAGAUA
rnacentral:rRNA from 1 species